CACACACACACACACACACACACACACACACACACAGGCCUGUAUGGGUAUGCGUGCUCGUCUCUCUCGCUCUCUGCUUAGAGACAACUGACAAAUAUGUGGAAUAAGUACUUCCGCCUCCUGCGUGUCCCCGGUGUAAUACGCACCGCCGGAAAAACAACGCUGUACAUUAACAAGAUUUUUUUCCCUCAGCAGGAAAUGAGAGAAGCAAAAAAAAAAGCAAAGCCGGCUCCUCGUUACAGCAGGGUUGCAGGAUCUCUGUGCGGCUGGUUAGCACUGACUACCGGCUCUACGCCUCUGCCACUGAGCGGUGGUCCCCCGUGGCCACACCACCUUCGGGCGCGGCUCCUCACUCCUCUGUUACAGAUGGUGCUGGAUAUUUUCCACAGUGGCAAACCAGAUCAGCCUAUAAUGAAAACACUGGAUCAUCUCACCGGGAGAAGAGGCCUCAGAACAUGACAGACAUCGACCAGUAAUAAGGAAGGAACUCUGUGGCACCACGCGCAUCAAUUAUUCAUUGUGGGGGUUUUUUGCAGCCGAUUCCUGGGAGUUCCUGUGAAUAUUAAAGACCCGGGAGCAGCCGACAGGCCAGAUGUGUUACAUCGCUCUCAUCUGACAGACCUCUCUGGGAAUAACCAGUUCUUCCUCCUCUCCACUCCCCCCUCGCUUUCACUCAUCACCUCUGCCAGGCAGCUGUAAAUUCAGAUAGUUUACCCGGGUCUUGUUGAUGAGUGAUAUAAACUGCUAAGGCUGAGAGGCAACUGGAUAUGAAAAUGAAUCAUGGUCAUUGUAUUUAUGUUUUGUUUGUUUUUUAAACAACUUUUUGAGUUUAAAUUGUUCUCCAGGUUCUUUCAGGGUUGUUUUACAAAUCGGUUUCUAUACUAAAGGCUAAGUAACUGUCAAGUAUGUUGCAUGUCAGCAUGCACUGUUUUCCAUGAAAUAACUUUUUUUUUUUUUAAAGUGCCCUGGUCUGCACUGAAUUCCAAAUUGACACAGAGUGCCACUAGUUUAUUAUUUAAAGUGACAGUGCAGAGCAGUACAUGACUUGUGCAUCUGCUACAUGCUGGCUUGACUCAUGUCUGCUGCAUGUGCUGGCUUGUUUGCUGACCAGCAGUCUCUAGAUUAGCCAAUCAAUUAUGUAUCUGAGUGCUUGUCAGGAGCAGUAGUUCCUCUACGUGUGAUAGUGGUUGGUUAAGAUUUACAGCUGUGGCCUUGUCCCGAUCUACCCAGGUCAGCAGUGCCAUAAACAUGCUGAAGACAUAGUUUGUUUGGUACUGUCUCCUGGUCAUGCAAUCAUGUUUGAUUUGGACUUAAUUAAGCUUUAGUAGUCUGGUAGUUUUGGGAGGUUUGCCCGUUGCUUAUUUUAAAACCAAGAUUUUUACAUUUUUGGUACUUUAUGUGUAUCCACUGGGUGAUAUGAUGAUAUACUGUAAAUUCUCAAAUAAAAGUUGGUAUUCAAAUAAUAGCCUGACAAAUAUAAGCGGUACAAAAUAAGGAAAAUCGGGAAUAAAGGCUGUCUCUAUAAUAAUCUAUAAAUAAUCUGCCGUUGAGAAAAAUAAAGGCCCUGACCACUAUUGGAGAAUUUACAAAUUCCGUUGUACAAUGUGCAUUGACAAU